AGCAGGAAAGAUGACACACAAACGGGAGUUGACUGACAAGGAGGGAAGAAAACCAUGCCAGCCCAGGAAAGCUGCAGCAGGACAAGCAGCGGGCAAGCCGUGACAGAUGAAAAGCCAGCAAAAUGGGAUCUGAAGGAAAGGGACUCUGGACAGAGCAACCUCCCUGCCUUUAAGUGUCGCCCAUGUGUCGGCCAAAUUUUGGCUGGGUGAGCCUUUGGACGUGCUCCCUGGAACUUGGAAAUGGGUGUCUGCCCUUGAUGCUGAUGCACUUCUGCAGCAGUCAGGUGGAAGGUGGACAACCCUGUAAGCAAGGCGUGUGUCACCGUUACCUCGUUUGUAGAAGGCCGUGGAUCUGGUUGGUGGUCUUGAGCAGCGCAGCCGCCCUGUAAUCGGGGUCCAGCACAGCUGACAGAUGCGACUGCCAAUGGCGCAGCCUCCUGUAAGCGAGGCACAUGCUGCUGCCUUCUAACACGCGAGGACAAGUGAUAUAAAUGUGUGUAGCACUGGACGUCCCGUAACUAGGAGACCAAGUCCACUGCUAUUGCCAGCCAGUUGGAGAGGUGCCCCCCUGUAAGCAGGGUGGGCGUAGCCUCCUUCAGGUGGCGUGAGUGAGACUGGGCAGUCUGCCACACUGUGCAGCAGGACGGCCUUGCAGACAGGAGCCGAGGGUUGUUGGUGACAGCAAACUCUUCAAAAGACAGAGCCUGGUGACCUACCCGUGGCUGGGUUGAAGUUUGUGGCCUCCUCACUGUUCCCUGUGUCCAGGCAUCUGUCCUUCGUCCUGCAUCUGUGCCUGGUACUCCACAUCCAGAGCCCUGGGCCACCCUGUAACGAGGGUGCAAGUCCCAUGCAUCCUGUUAGACAGCUAGGUUUUGCAGAGCUGCAGCCCACCCUAUAAGCAGGGUGCAGGUUUCAAUGUGCCUUUGGUGACAGCUCUGUCGUCUGGCUGGCUGUGGACCCUCCCUGUAAGCAGGGCUCUGGGCCUUCCCUUUUGACCCCUGAGGGCAGUCUUGCUGGCUGGACGGACCAUGCCCGGUAACGAGGGUGCGAGUCCCGUGCCUCUUGGUGGAGGGCUAGGUUCUACAGAGCUGUGGACCACCCUCGACAGGUUCAUCUUCGUAAUCUUCUAGGCAGUAUACAGGUGUCUGCACGUGUCUAACGACUUCAUCCACUAUGAAAAUCUCAUCGGUAAAUGUUUGCUGAUAACCUUUUUCAAACCUCCCUUUGGUCCUAGACACCCUCACGUGGUCUCCUUUUCUAAACACGGGUGCUGCUGUUUUUAUUUUGAAAUAGUCCCUGUACAUGACUUUCCACACCCAUGGAGAGUUUGAGAAGUUCACGUCAACAGGCCUGGUGUGGAUAGUUCUGUGAAAACUGUGGUUGUAGCUCUUUAUACACUCUUGUAACACAUCAGUGUAGUGAAAGGUGUUGUGGGCUGUAAUAUACCUCCACAUCUUUUAUUUUAAUGUUAUGUUAAACCUCUCUACCACCGCCACUUUCACUUCACAAUUGAUCACAAAAUGGUGAAUAUCGUACUGUUUGAACAGCUUGCUUAAAGAAUCAUAGAAUCGUAGAAUCAUAGAAGUCGGGUCGGAAGGGACCUUGUAGAUC